UUCCUGGUGGUCUGGUGGUUAGGACUCAGCGCUUUCACUGCUGCAGCUAGGGUUCAAUCCCUGGUCUGGGAA
rnacentral:tRNA from 1 species